GGCAGCGCGUCCCGUCCGAGACCUCCUCCAUCCCUGUAUCCUUGCGGCCACCUGGCCUUGCCCACGGCAGCUCUUCCACGGGGAGACUGGCAGCGUGGCCUCUGCCCGGCCUGUCAAACUCACUAAAGUCAGCCCCCGCAGGACCCCCCCAAAAGCUGCUAUCUGCCCAAAAGCCCAGGCAGAAGCAGAUCUCAUCGUCCAGCUCCUCAGACACAGCAUGUCCCCAAAUCCAGUCUUUGUGCCAUGUUUCUUCUGUUGCGCCAGGUAACAGAACCAAAGAAGCACCGAAGUUACUAAUGAGGUUUGACAAGGUCCUGAAGAAGUUGUACAUCAGCCCCUCCUGUCAGCUCCUCUGCACAAGUGUUCCAGCAAAAAUGUGUCAGCCUUUUUUGAGAACAUAACUAGACAAAAAUGACGUGAAGGUCUGUGUGGGAAACAUCAGGGAAGAAGCUGAAAAAUCGAAUGUUUGGAGAUUUUGUGGUUCUAAGACCAAAAAAUGAUUGGACAAAAGCCUGUGGCUGCUCCACUGAUGUGAGGCUGAAGAUACGAUCUGAGCAGAGCAUUAGGCAAUACCCCUGAUGGUGGGGGGUGGACAGCUGCCCUACCUGCUGUCUCCCCACUACAGCUAUUCUCUUUUGGAGACUAAAUGGAGCAGGUAGAACUGUCUUAAACUGAUUUCAUGGAGAACACGAUGCUGGAGACAAAUGGAAUAUAAACUUCCCUUCAAAAAGUUGCGAAGAAAAUUGAUGUAAUGUGAUAAGAAAACGUUCAGACAAUUUUUCAGUUGCAGAUAAUAAAACAAAAAUAUUUUUCCAGUAAGUUUACCGGAGAGAAAGCUUUCAGCAUCUAAUAAAUAUCAAUAUUACAAUGUGGUUAUAAAUCAGUAAGGUAAACAUUGGUUUGAGUCAAAAUGAUGAAGAAAAGAGGUAUGUAGAAUUCAGUAAUAAAAAAUCUAAAGAAUGAAGAUUAAGUUAAUACUACUGAAAAAGCAUUAUUGCUUGUUUUCAAGGCUGUUAUAAUUUGAGUUAAUAAAUGGAACAGUGAAAUGUGGUA